rnacentral:rRNA from 1 species
AGCUUAGGUAAAACUAAGUGGAGGACCGAACCGUAGUACGCUAAAAAGUGCCCGGAUGACUUGUGGAUAGCGGUGAAAUUCCAAUCGAACCUGGAGAUAGCUGGUUCUCUUCGAAAUAGCUUUAGGGCUAGCGUAUAGUAUUGUUUAAUGGGGGUAGAGCACUGAAUGUGGAAUGGCGGCAUCUAGCUGUACUGACUAUAAUCAAACUCCGAAUACCAUUAAAAUUAAGCUAUGCAGUCGGAACGUGGGUGAUAACGUCCACACUCGCGAGGGAAACAACCCAGAUCGUCAGCUAAGGUCCCAAAAUUGUGUUAAGUGAGAAAGGUUGUGAGAUUUCAUAAACAACUAGGAAGUUGGCUUAGAAGCAGCCACCUUUUAAAGAGUGCGUAAUUGCUCACUAGUCAAGAGAUCUUGCGCCAAUAAUGUAACGGGACUCAAACACAAUACCGAAGCUACGGGCACAUUAUGUGCGUUAGGAGAGCGUUUUAAUUUCGUUGAAGUCAGACCGUGAGGACUGGUGGAGAGAUUAAAAGUGAGAAUGCCGGCAUGAGUAACGAUUCGAAGUGAGAAUCUUCGACGCCUAUUGGGAAAGGUUUCCUGGGCAAGGUUCGUCCACCCAGGGUUAGUCAGGGCCUAAGAUGAGGCAGAAAUGCAUAGUCGAUGGACAACAGGUUAAUAUUCCUGUACUUGGUAAAAGAAUGAUGGAGUGACGAAAAAGGAUAGUUCUACCACUUACUGGAUUGUGGGGUAAGCAACAAGAGAGUUAUAUAGGCAAAUCCGUAUAGCAUAAUCUUGAGUUGUGAUGCAUAGUGAAGACUUCGGUCGAGUAACGAAUUGAAUGAUUUCAUGUUUCCAAGAAAAGCUUCUAGUGUUAAUUUUUUUAUCAACCUUUACCGAGA